CCAAUAGCGUAUAUUAAAGUUGUUGCAGUUAAAAAGCUCGUAGUUGAAUUUCGGGGUUAGUAAGUUGGUCAUGCCUUCGGUAUGUACUGGCUUCACUGAUUCCUCCUCCUUGACGAUCUGUAAUGUCAUUAAUUUGGUGUUGCAGGGAAUCAGGACUGUUACUUUGAAAAAAUUAGAGUGUUUAAAGCAGGCUAACGCUUGAAUACAUUAGCAUGGAAUAAUGAAAUAGGACGUUAAUCCUAUUUUGUUGGUUUCUAGGAUCGACGUAAUGAUUAAUAGGGAUGGUUGGGGGCAUUAGUAUUCAAUUGUCAGAGGUGAAAUUCUUGGAUUUAUUGAAGACUAACUACUGCGAAAGCAUUUGCCAAGGAUGUUUUCAUUAAUCAAGAACGAAAGUUAGGGGAUCGAAGACGAUCAGAUACCGUCGUACUCUUAACCAUAAACUAUGCCGACUAGGGAUCGGAUGAUGUUAAGCUUUUAAUCACUCA
rnacentral:rRNA from 1 species